GUUAAUCCCUAAUGUAAAUAAUAAUCGUAAUUUAACCGUGGGAAAUUUAAAACGUUAACAGGACAAUUUUGAUCUGUGCAAAAGUGAACAGUUUGAACAAAAAUGAUCUGUGCAAAAGUGAACAGUAAAUUCUCACAAGACAGUUUGGAUAUAAGUUUAUUAGAUGAUCAAAUUUGGAUAUAUAAUCUUUCACUAUGGAUUUAAAAAUGAACAAUUUGGAUCCCACCGCUAGCCACCAAAUUAUGUAACGUGUACACAGGGUAAGCGUGUCUAUUUCUAUUUAGAAUGAGUACGUUACCAGUUUGAUACUGGAUCCAAAAUUGCUCUAUUUACAAAAC
rnacentral:lncRNA from 1 species